GUGGGGAAUAUUGCGCAAUGGGCGAAAGCCUGACGCAGCAACGCCGUGUGAGGGAUGAAGGCUUUCGGGUCGUAAACCUCUGUCAGAAGGGAAGAACGGGUGAGGGUCUAACAGGCCUUUAUUUUGACGGUACCUUCAGAGGAAGCACCGGCUAACUCCGUGCCAGCAGCCGCGGUAAUACGGAGGGUGCAAGCGUUAUUCGGAAUUACUGGGCGUAAAGCGCACGUAGGCGGCCUUGUAAGUCAGGGGUGAAAUCCCACGGCUCAACCGUGGAACUGCCCUUGAAACUGCGGGGCUUGAAUCCUGGAGAGGGUGGCGGAAUUCCUGGUGUAGGAGUGAAAUCCGUAGAUAUCAGGAGGAACACCGGUGGCGAAGGCGGCCACCUGGACAGGCAUUGACGCUGAGGUGCGAAAGUGUGGGGAGCAAACAGGAUUAGAAACCCCGGUAGUCC
rnacentral:rRNA from 1 species